CUUCCGUUAAUUGAUUAUGACGUACUUGUACUGAUUGAGAUUUUAACACGAAGUGAGUGGCGAACGGGUGAGUAACACGUGGGUAACCUGCCCAGAAGUAGGGGAUAACACCUGGAAACAGAUGCUAAUACCGUAUAACAGAGAAAACCGCAUGGUUUUCUUUUAAAAGAUGGCUCUGCUAUCACUUCUGGAUGGACCCGCGGCGUAUUAGCUAGUUGGUGAGGUAAAGGCUCACCAAGGCAGUGAUACGUAGCCGACCUGAGAGGGUAAUCGGCCACAUUGGGACUGAGACACGGCCCAGACUCCUACGGGAGGCAGCAGUAGGGAAUCUUCCACAAUGGACGCAAGUCUGAUGGAGCAACGCCGCGUGAGUGAAGAAGGGUUUCGGCUCGUAAAGCUCUGUUGUUAAAGAAGAACGUGGGUAAGAGUAACUGUUUACCCAGUGACGGUAUUUAACCAGAAAGCCACGGCUAACUACGUGCCAGCAGCCGCGGUAAUACGUAGGUGGCAAGCGUUAUCCGGAUUUAUUGGGCGUAAAGCGAGCGCAGGCGGUCUUUUAAGUCUAAUGUGAAAGCCUUCGGCUCAACCGAAGAAGUGCAUUGGAAACUGGGAGACUUGAGUGCAGAAGAGGACAGUGGAACUCCAUGUGUAGCGGUGAAAUGCGUAGAUAUAUGGAAGAACACCAGUGGCGAAGGCGGCUGUCUGGUCUGCAACUGACGCUGAGGCUCG
rnacentral:rRNA from 1 species